AAGAUAGGCUUGCGUCUGAUUAGCUUGUUGGUAAUUUAAAAGAUUUACCAAGGCAACGAUCAGUAGUUGGUCUAAGAGGGUGAUCCCCCACACUGGUACUGAGACACGGACCAGACUCCUACGGGAGGCAGCAGUGAGGAAUAUUGGUCAAUGGAGGCAACUCUGAACCAGCCAUGCCGCGUGCAGGAAGACGGCCCUCUGGGUUGUAAACUGCUUUUAUUUAGGAAGAAACCUUUCUACGUGUAGGAAGCUGACGGUACUAAACGAAUAAGGACCGGCUAACUCCGUGCCAGCAGCCGCGGUAAUACGGAGGGUCCAAGCGUUAUCCGGAAUCAUUGGGUUUAAAGGGUCCGCAGGCGGCUUAUUAAGUCAGUGGUGAAAGCCUACAGCUCAACUGUAGAACUGCCAUUGAUACUGAUAAGCUUGAGUAUGGUCGAAGUGGAUGGAAUGUGUAGUGUAGCGGUGAAAUGCAUAGAUAUUACACAGAACACCGAUAGCGAAGGCAGUUCACUAGGCCGUAACUGACGCUGAGGGACGAAAGCGUGGGUAGCGAACAGGAUUAGAUACCCUGGUAGUCCACGCAGUAAACGAUGAUCACUCGAUAUCGGCGAUAAACUGUCGGUGUCCAAGCGAAAGUGUUAAGUGAUCCACCUGGGGAGUACGGUCGCAAGAUUGAAACUC
rnacentral:rRNA from 1 species